rnacentral:lncRNA from 1 species
UAACUGAUGUGAUUCCUAUGAUGACUAAAAUCACGGAACACAAAUUGAAUGGAUCUUCCGAUCAGGGAAUUUUGAUAUCUACAGAUGAGUAUGCACAAUUCAUCCAAUACCAGGCAUCUCUAAAAUCCUCUAAUUCCUCCUCUAUCACUGCAAUUGCCGAGUCAGGUAACUCUACUGCAUGUCUUGUAUUUUCAUCUUCCAAAUGGGUUAUUGAUUCUGGUGCUACCGAUCAUAUGUCAGGUAAUUCUACCCUUUUGUCCAAUCUUGAGUCUCAUACAUCACCUUCUUAAGUUACUCUUGCUGAUGGCACUAAAUCUUUUGUCAUGGGUUCUGGUCAUGUCAACUUAACCCUUUCUCUUUCUGUAUCCUUUGUGUUAUGUCUCCCUAAAUUCGCAUUUAAUUUGCUUUCCGUGAGUAAACUCACUCGUGCAUUGAAUUGUUGUGUCUCAUUCUUUCCUGAUCACUGUGUUUUUCAGGAUCUUUCAACGAAGCAGAUUAUUGGUAGAGGGAGUGAGUCAGAGGUUCUUUAC